rnacentral:rRNA from 1 species
CAAGUCGACGAUCCAUAGCCGGACUGAGAGGUUGAACGGCCACAUUGGGACUGAGAUACGGCCCAGACUCCUACGGGAGGCAGCAGUCGGGAAUAUUGCGCAAUGGAGGAAACCCUGAUGCAGCGACGCCGCGUGAGCAAAGAAGUAUUUCGGUAUGUAAAGCUCUAUCAGCAGGGAAGAUAAUGACGGUACCUGACUAAGAAGCCCCGGCUAACUAC